GACGCCGCGGUAGCACAAUGGUUAGUAGAGCAUCGCACGCAAAAUGUGAAAGAUGUGAGUUUGGCUACCACCGGCAGCAAGUUGUUUUUUCAUCCACUUUCAUUUCCAUUGACUUC
rnacentral:lncRNA from 1 species